rnacentral:rRNA from 1 species
GGAGCUUGCUCCACCGGAAAAAGAAGAGUGGCGAACGGGUGAGUAACACGUGGGUAACCUGCCCAUCAGAAGGGGAUAACACUUGGAAACAGGUGCUAAUACCGUAUAACAAUCGAAACCGCAUGGUUUUGAUUUGAAAGGCGCUUUCGGGUGUCGCUGAUGGAUGGACCCGCGGUGCAUUAGCUAGUUGGUGAGGUAACGGCUCACCAAGGCCACGAUGCAUAGCCGACCUGAGAGGGUGAUCGGCCACAUUGGGACUGAGACACGGCCCAAACUCCUACGGGAGGCAGCAGUAGGGAAUCUUCGGCAAUGGACGAAAGUCUGACCGAGCAACGCCGCGUGAGUGAAGAAGGUUUUCGGAUCGUAAAACUCUGUUGUUAGAGAAGAACAAGGAUGAGAGUAACUGUUCAUCCCUUGACGGUAUCUAACCAGAAAGCCACGGCUAACUACGUGCCAGCAGCCGCGGUAAUACGUAGGUGGCAAGCGUUGUCCGGAUUUAUUGGGCGUAAAGCGAGCGCAGGCGGUUUCUUAAGUCUGAUGUGAAAGCCCCCGGCUCAACCGGGGAGGGUCAUUGGAAACUGGGAGACUUGAGUGCAGAAGAGGAGAGUGGAAUUCCAUGUGUAGCGGUGAAAUGCGUAGAUAUAUGGAGGAACACCAGUGGCGAAGGCGGCUCUCUGGUCUGUAACUGACGCUGAGGCUCGAAAGCGUGGGGAGCAAACAGGAUUAGAUACCCUGGUAGUCCACGCCGUAAACGAUGAGUGCUAAGUGUUGGAGGGUUUCCGCCCUUCAGUGCUGCAGCUAACGCAUUAAGCACUCCGCCUGGGGAGUACGACCGCAAGGUUGAAACUCAAAGGAAUUGACGGGGGCCCGCACAAGCGGUGGAGCAUGUGGUUUAAUUCGAAGCAACGCGAAGAACCUUACCAGGUCUUGACAUCCUUUGACCACUCUAGAGAUAGAGCUUCCCCUUCGGGGGCAAAGUGACAGGUGGUGCAUGGUUGUCGUCAGCUCGUGUCGUGAGAUGUUGGGUUAAGUCCCGCAACGAGCGCAACCCUUAUUGUUAGUUGCCAUCAUUCAGUUGGGCACUCUAGCAAGACUGCCGGUGACAAACCGGAGGAAGGUGGGGAUGACGUCAAAUCAUCAUGCCCCUUAUGACCUGGGCUACACACGUGCUACAAUGGGAAGUACAACGAGUCGCGAAGUCGCGAGGCUAAGCUAAUCUCUUAAAGCUUCUCUCAGUUCGGAUUGUAGGCUGCAACUCGCCUACAUGAAGCCGGAAUCGCUAGUAAUCGCGGAUCAGCACGCCGCGGUGAAUACGUUCCCGGGCCUUGUACACACCGCCCGUCACACCACGAGAGUUUUAACACCCGAAGUCGGUGAGGUAACCUUUGAGCCACC